rnacentral:rRNA from 1 species
UAAUACGUAGGGUGCGAGCGUUAAUCGGAAUUACUGGGCGUAAAGCGUGCGCAGGCGGUUCGUUAAGUUCGUUGUGAAAGCCCCGGGCUCAACCUGGGAACUGCAAUGGAAACUGGCGGGCUUGAGUGUGGCAGAGGGGGGUGGAAUUCCGCGUGUAGCAGUGAAAUGCGUAGAGAUGCGGAGGAACACCGAUGGCGAAGGCAGCCCCCUGGGCCAACACUGACGCUCAGGCACGAAAGCGUGGGGAGCAAACAGGAUUAGAUACCCUGGUAGUCCACGCCCUAAACGAUGCUCACUAGGUGUUGGGGAAGCGAUUCCUUGGUACCGUAGCUAACGCGUGAAGUGAGCCGCCUGGGGAGUACGGCCGCAAGGUUA